CAGCUUGGUGGCCAGCGAGCAGCCGUUCGUGUAGGCGUCAGGCCGGACGUGGGCGGGGAAGCGGCGAGACAGGAUCUCCGCCACCAGCUUUUCCCAAGUCAAGUUUGAAAAGCACUCUGCACACCUGAAGAAAAUGAGUAUCUACUAAGCUGUGAAUGCUCCGAAGAACAUCUGUUAAUAUAAUUAUUAAAGUGACAUCUGAAAUUCAGUGAUGCCAGAUCCCACUCUGAAGUCUGUAUUGCAUCUACACCCACCUUAUCUCCCUGCCCUCACACAGAGACAUCAGCAGCUGGCUGCUAAAACCUUUCAAAUCUAAAUGCUUGCACCAUCUCUAUUAGAAUAAAAAUCUUAAAGCAAAGUACUGCAGAAAACAAUUGUGCAAAUCAGGGUUGGGAAAAGCUUCCACAUUCCUACUGAUUUAUUGGUAAACAUAAUAAUUAACCAUGAAAUACCACAGAGAUGAAAAUAUGUUCAAAAUAAACAUGCAGCAUUAAUAAACAUCAGAUUUGUUUUAAAAUAAAUUUUGUAUCGAGAUUGCUGCCUUCUGCUAUUCUACAACCUUGCUAAGCCUCUUAUUUAAAAAGCAUCAACAAGAAUAUAAAUAAAUGAAGAACUGUUUUAAUUCAGCAUUGUCUGUGACAGCAGAAUUAGUAAUAUAGUCUAUUCCAAAACUGUUCAUUUAUUAAGUACCUACUGGUGCAGUUUCUGACAGAUGCUGAGUAUGUUGAAUACAAGGCAUCUCUAUCUUUAUUUACCACUAGCCACACUAGUCCCAAGUUCUCUGGCGUUCAUUCAGGAAGGGCAGCCUACAUUACUUUGUAAACUCUAAUAAGGAAAGAAUAAAUAGACUAAAUAGAAUAAAUAGACUCAUUGUAUUAAUGGGCAAAGUUAAAAAUAAAUUAAUUACAAAUUAUCAUACAAUACCUAAAUCUCCAUCUCCCCAUGGUACUUCCAAACAAUUGCAAUUAUAAAUCCUACUCAUUUCUUUCAAUCUGGAAAAAAAAAACAAUAAAUUUAAAUAAACCCAUUCUUGCUAG